rnacentral:tRNA from 1 species
GCGGCUGUAGCUCAGCUGGUUAGAGCGCGCCCCUGUCACGGGCGAGGUCGCCGGUUCAAGUCCGGUCAGCCGCG